rnacentral:lncRNA from 1 species
ACACCCCUAAACAUGCAUCUAAGACAUAAACCUGAAUUACAUCUGCUGAAUUACGAGAAUAAUAUACAUGAAGGACACCUGCCCAAAAAGACAUACGAACAUAUACGUUCAACAUACGUAGGGCGAGCCAACAAGGCUACUAUAGACAACUAUGUACCUCAAAACUGGAAGCCGGCAAGGCCACAUACUAUCGAACUAGACAUACAGACCUCUACUAGAAAUAUAAUUGUACAAAGACGGGACUGAGCCACGUCAUAUAUAUAUUAGAUCCUUUGCACCGGAUCAAGUAGGGCACGCCAACUCUCGCUGAUCAAGGAUCCUUAGAAGGAGAACCGUCAGAUUGCCUACCUACACCUGCGGGCAUGAAAGACAUGCUCCAUGAAAUAGGGAAUCAGUAUAAAAAAUGUACUGAAUAUGUAAGACAUGAAAAUCAGUACGUAAAAGACAUAGAUGAAACAUGGAAAAAAGAAAUCCAUCUGUAAAUCUAAACAACUUUGUCAAUUCUGAAACAUUUAUAAUGUCAUGCAUGUGCAAAUAAAUGUCAAUCCAUGCAUAGGUAUGGUUGUACAUAAUAUCAUCAAGACACUGAGAGAAUUCCAUCAUGUCGUUUCGGCCACUGUGGAUACCAUCGCCAAUAUAUCAACUGAUCAAGUGGUGGUGCGUAUAUAACGCCGUAACUUUUUCCCAAACCCAUGUAUAUAAAUAUAUACAUAUAUAUGCUAAUAUAGCUCCAUCUGGUCAUGGGUCAAUUUAUAUGAAUAAAUUAAUGAAAUGUAUAAGAAAUACAUAAAUAAGGUUUUCUAGAAAUUCCAUAAAAAUCACUAUACAUUUUGAUUCAACUUUAUCAAAUACGUAUUUUUCUGGAACCCAUGAAUAGAAGGCAAAUUAUAAUUUACACGGAGAAUCAAGAAUAUAGACAUCCCUAAUAUUUCUAUGAAUAGAGUUAUUUAUGAGAGUUGCGUAUUUUGCUCAUUUUACUUUUACCUUAGGGAUCAUGCCAAAAGAAAGUGUCAUGCCCCGAGCAUGGGGGAAAGAGCGGCUCCCAGUACCUCACAUAUCCUUGCAUACCACUAGUAACUAAGAGACUCUGAACAUGCAAUGUCACAUUUUGACUAUGGGCCACAUUGCGAGAUAAUGUGCGAUGCUAAUUAUAAAACUAAAUAGAGACUAACGCUGACGAAACGUUUACAUAAAGAUGGGCCUGCAAGGCCGUCAUAAUUACUACAACUGACAAGCCAACAAAAUAUACGUACACGGCCUACAAUCUCAAUAUACUGCACUAAUUGAAAAGAUAUAUAUACAAUCCUCUACUGAUAGAUGUACUGUGAUCGGAACAGGGCCUCGACCUACCCUUAACCUAUCUACAUAUAUGCACAAGAUGUACUCCAAACUGCUAGAACCGAAAACUCCGAAAGACGGGGAGCUUACCGAUAAGACAGAACUUGGGCAUACACCUAGUUAAAAGGUCUACUCGUUUGAAAAAAACUCCGAAAGACAGGGAGCUUACCGAUAAGACAGAACUUGGGCAUACACCUAGUUAAAAGGUCUACUCGUUUGAACCUGUACGCAUGAAAUGCAGCGCCCCCAGAAAGGGAUGUUAGUAUGAAAUAAUGUACCGUCUUAGUAAGGCAAUAUACUUAUGCUGAAACUGAACUGAUAAUAUAAUAACUGAAAACAACUGAGAGUCAAAGAAAAUCUAAAGAUAUGCUCAUCUGCUGAUACUGACUCAAUUCUCUCAAUAUAGUGAGUAAAAUAGUUGUCCGGCCCAAGAAGGCUCGGUGUGUGUGUAUAUAUAUAUAUAUAUAUAUAUAUAUAUAUAUANNNNNNNNNNNNNNNNNNNNNNNNNNNNNNNNNNNNNNNNNNNNNNNNNNNNNNNNNNNNNNNNNUUAGUAGGCUCGCUCAUAAGAGCUCGGCCAUACUAUGCUCUAUAUCUCGACCAAUUAGGCUCGCUCAUAGGGUACUGAUGACGAACCAGCUACAAAUCUUUCUGCCUGAGCUAUGCUUGCUUCACCUCACAUCGAACAAUCCCUCAUGGCCUGGCUUGGAUAACCACAAGUAUGACAAAUACCUAAUCUCAAAUGGCACUGCCUGGUAUGUUGCUUACCACAUUAAGCACAUCAUGGCAACAGCGGCCUCAUCUGACUUGACACACCCCUAUACUGAGAACCUGAGGCCCUAAAAUUCUUACCAAACCCUGAAUAUGUGGAACGAUCAAAUCUCAUACCGCCAAACUGAGGGGGCACGCUAGCCGUGAGCUGGACACCUUGGGUAUUGUUGCCUCUGACCACCUCAAAACUCAGCAGAAGGACACGAAGGCCUUUCUCUCUUAUUUUGGGCCCUAUCAUGCUCACAAUUGGCCCUCUGUUUCUACUUACGUUCCUCAAUCACCUGAGCAUACGCCUAAAUACGAGAAAUAUCCAUGUCUAGAUGACGUGAGACUGACAUACAAUCGUUAAGCAAAUGAGGCUCUAACCACAUCACGAACCGGUGAACCCAAUCCUCCAUCUUAGAUACAAUAGUGGGAACAUACCUAGCCAAUGAAUAAAACUGAAGAUUGUACUCCCGAACACUAAUGUUACCCCGUCGAAGUGCCAAGAACCUAUCAACUCUAGUCCGUCUAAGCUCUGGUAGCAGAUAAUGACGAAGAACAGCUUCUGUAAACUCCUACCAUACUGCUGGAGGGUAUCCUCACCUUCGGAUAAUUCCAAAGACUCGUGCCAAUUAAGUGCAACAUCUCGGAGUCUAUAGAAGCUAUCUCAACUGACUCAAUUGCAAUGGCCUUCAUUACACUUAACGUCUUUUUCAUUCUAUCAAUAAAUACCCAAGGGUCCUCGUUUGGAUCUGGUAUAGUGAAUAUCGGAAGGUCUAAAUUAAUGAAGUCACGAACCCUUGCAUUGAUGAACCUAUCUGCAUGACCAAUACCUACUUAUUGAUGUCGAGCAUGUGCGACUGCUAAUCGGGUUAAUAACUAAAUAUCAUCUCUCAUCUCCUGACCUGGAGUAUCUUGCAUAGGAGCUGGAUUAUAGGGGCAGGCGCUGGAGCUGGUACACCUUGGAACUUUUUUGCAAAGGACAGGGUAUGUGGAGUCUGAGAUGGAAUCUCACUAUGAGACUCUCCCUGAGCCCUAGUAACUCGUGGCGCUCGACUAGUAGUCUCACUAGCUACGGACUUUCCCUUCUUGGCGGCUGUAGUUUUUGGAGGCAUCACUGAAAAUAUAACAUAUCGUUAGGAAUAUGAAUUUCUUAUAUUGCACAAUCUAAGAUAAAAAGAGAGGAUAACAUCCUAUGUGUCCUGUAGCCUCCUGUCUAUUAUUGUGGUGCACAAUACACCCAAAAACAAGACACUACUAGACAUUGUCUGUAGACAACAGAACUGCUCUGAUAUCACUUUCCUCACAACCAAACUGAUGGGUCGUGACGGGUGCCCAAUUCCUACUUGUCAACACCCCUAAACAUGCGUCUAAGACAUAAACCUGAAUUACAUCUGCUGAAUUACGAGAAUAAUAUACAUGAAGGACACCUGCCCAAAAAGACAUACGUACUUAUACGUUCAACAUACGUAGGGCGAGCCAACAAGGCUAUUAUAGACAACUAUGUACCUCAAAACUGGAAGCUGGAAAGGCCACAUACUAUCGAACUAGACAUACAGACCUCUACUAGAAAUAUAAUUGUACAAAGACGGGACUGAGCCACGUCAUAUAUAUAUUAGAUCCUUUGCACCGGAUCA